rnacentral:rRNA from 1 species
GACGAACGCUGGCGGCGUGCUUAACACAUGCAAGUCGAACGGAAAGGCCCUGCUUUUGUGGGGUGCUCGAGUGGCGAACGGGUGAGUAACACGUGAGUAACCUGCCCUUGACUUUGGGAUAACUUCAGGAAACUGGGGCUAAUACCGGAUAGGAGCUCCUGCUGCAUGGUGGGGGUUGGAAAGUUUCGGCGGUUGGGGAUGGACUCGCGGCUUAUCAGCUUGUUGGUGGGGUAGUGGCUUACCAAGGCUUUGACGGGUAGCCGGCCUGAGAGGGUGACCGGCCACAUUGGGACUGAGAUACGGCCCAGACUCCUACGGGAGGCAGCAGUGGGGAAUAUUGCACAAUGGGCGGAAGCCUGAUGCAGCAACGCCGCGUGCGGGAUGACGGCCUUCGGGUUGCAAACCGCUUUCGCCUGUGACGAAGCGUGAGUGACGGUAAUGGGUAAAGAAGCACCGGCUAACUACGUG